rnacentral:tRNA from 5 species
UGCCCGGUCGUCUAAUGGCAGGACAGCGGCCUUUGGAGCCGUUAGUGGUGGUUCGAAUCCACCCCGGGCAGCAA